rnacentral:rRNA from 1 species
CAAGACCUUGCGCUUUUGGAGCGGCCGAUGUCUGAUUAGCUAGUUGGUGGGGUAANGGCUUACCAAGGCUUCGAUCAGUAGCUGGUCUGAGAGGACGACCAGCCACACUGGGACUGAGACACGGCCCAGACUCCUACGGGAGGCAGCAGUGGGGAAUUUUGGACAAUGGGGGAAACCCUGAUCCAGCCAUGCCGCGUGAGUGAAGAAGGCCUUCGGGUUGUAAAGCUCUUUCAGCCGGAANGAAAAGGUCACGGNUAAUACCUGUGACAAAUGACGGUACCGGAAGAAGAAGCACCGGCUAACUACGUGCCAGCAGCCGCGGUAAUACGUAGGGUGCNAGCGUUAAUCGGAAUUACUGGGCGUAAAGCGUGCGCAGGCGGUUUUGUAAGUCAGAUGUGAAAUC